rnacentral:rRNA from 1 species
UACGGAGGAUCCAAGCGUUAUCCGGAAUCAUUGGGUUUAAAGGGUCCGUAGGCGGUUUUGUAAGUCAGUGGUGAAAGCCCAUCGCUCAACGGUGGAACGGCCAUUGAUACUGCAAGACUUGAAUUAUUGGGAAGUAACUAGAAUAUGUAGUGUAGCGGUGAAAUGCUUAGAGAUUACAUGGAAUACCAAUUGCGAAGGCAGGUUACUACCAAUAUAUUGACGCUGAUGGAUGAAAGCGUGGGGAGCGAACAGG